rnacentral:rRNA from 1 species
CCUACGGGUGGCAGCAGUGAGGAAUAUUCGUCAAUGGACGAGAGUCUGAACCAGCAACGUAGCGUGAAGGAUGACUGCCCUAUGGGUUGUAAACUUCUUUUAUAUGGGAAUAAAACGUUCCACGUGUGGGAUUUUGUAUGUACCAUAUGAAUAAGGAUAGGCUAACUCCGUGCCAGCAGCCGCGGUAAUACGGAGGAUCCGAGCGUUAUCCGGAUUUAUUGGGUUUAAAGGGAGCGUAGGUGGAUUGUUAAGUCAGUUGUGAAAGUUUGCGGCUCAACCGUAAAAUUGCAGUUGAAACUGGCAGUCUUGAGUACAGUAGAGGUGGGCGGAAUUCGUGGUGUAGCGGUGAAAUGCUUAGAUAUCACGAAGAACUCCGAUGGCGAAGGCAGUUCACUGGACUGCAACUGACACUGAGGCUCGAAAGUGUGGGUAUCAAACAGGAUUAGAUACCCUGGUAGUC